AAUAUGUGGUGUGGAAUUUUUGAAUCAAUAUUUUGAAACAUUCCCAAGCCUCAUGGAAACUUUCUCCUUCCAUCUAUCUCAAAACAACAAUCUCUCCUCUUAAU
rnacentral:snoRNA from 1 species